rnacentral:rRNA from 1 species
CAAUAGCGUAUAUUAAAGUUGUUGCAGUUAAAAAGCUCGUAGUUGGAUUUCUGGUUGAAGCGACCGGUCGGGCGUUGAUUCGUCUGCACUGGAGUCGGUUUUGGCCAUCCUCUAGGAAAGUGCGUCUGGUAUUAAGUUAUCGGGCGUAUGAUCCUGGUCUUUUACUGUGAAAAAAUUAGAGUGUUUAAAGCAGGCCUUCGCCUUGAAUACAUUAGCAUGGAAUAAUAGAAUAGGACUACGGUCUCUUUGUUGGUUUGAGGGACUGCAGUAAUGAUUAAUAGGGAUAGUUGGGGGCAUUAGUACUUAACUGUCAGAGGUGGAAUUCUCAGAUUUGUUAAAGACUGACUUAUGCGAAAGCAUUUGCCAAGGAUGUUUUCAUUAA